GUAGGCGAUGGACAAUCGGUUGAUAUUCCGAUACCACUACCAUCGUUAUUAUCGAGGGUGUGACGGAGAAGGAUAGUGUGUGCUAGCGAUUGGAAAUGCUAGUCUAAGCGUUUAGGGAGUUACAGUAGGCAAAUCCGCUGUAACAAUUCUGAGGCGUGAUGGGGAAGGUCAUUAAGACCGAAGUACAUGAUUCCAUGCUUCCAAGAAAAGCAUCUAGAGAGAGAAGUAGUGCCCGCACCGCAAACCGACACAGGUAGAUGAGGAGAGAAUCCUAAGGCCGGCGGAAGAAUUGCAGUUAAGGAACUAGGCAAAUUGACCCCGUAAGUUCGCGAGAAGGGGUGCCUGCGAGAGCAGGCCGCAGAGAAUAGGCCCAAGCAACUGUUUAGCAAAAACACAGGUCUCUGCUAAAGCGUAAGCUGAUGUAUAGGGGCUGACGCCUGCCCGGUGCUGGAAGGUUAAGGGGAACACUUAGCGCAAGCGAAGGUGUGAACUUAAGCCCCAGUAAACGGCGGCCGUAACUAUAACGGUCCUAAGGUAGCGAAAUUCCUUGUCAGGUAAGUUCUGACCCGCACGAAUGGCGUAAUGACUUGGGCACUGUCUCAACUGCAAAUCCGGCGAAGUUGUAGUGCGAGUGAAGAUGCUCGCUACCCGCGAUUGGACGGAAAGACCCCGUAGAGCUUUACUGUAGCUUAGCAUUGAAUUCCGGUAUUGUCUGUACAGGAUAGGUGGGAGACUGGGAAACUAGGGCGUCAGCCUUAGUGGAGUCAACCUUGGGAUACCACCCUGACAGUACUGGGGUUCUAACAGGACGCCAUGAAGCUGGUGACUGGACAUUGUUAGGUGGGCAGUUUGACUGGGGCGGUCGCCUCCUAAAAAGUAACGGAGGCGCCCAAAGGUUCCCUCAGAACGGUCGGAAAUCGUUCGUAGAGUGCAAAGACAGAAGGGAGCCUGACUGCGAGACCCACAAGUCGAGCAGGGACGAAAGUCGGGCUUAGUGAUCCGGUGGUACCUCGUGGGAGGGCCAUCGCUCAACGGAUAAAAGCUACCUCGGGGAUAACAGGCUGAUCUCCCCCAAGAGUCCACAUCGACGGGGAGGUUUGGCACCUGAUGUCGGCUCGUCGCAUCCUGGGGCUGUAGUAGGUCCCAAGGGUUGGGCUGUUCGCCCAUUAAAGCGGCACGCGAGCUGGGUUCAGAACGUCGUGAGACAGUUCGGUCCCUAUCCGUCGCGGGCGUAGGAAAUUUGAGAGGAGCUGUCCUUAGUACGAGAGGACCGGGAUGGACUGACCUCUGGUGCACCAGUUGUUCUGCCAAGAGCAUGGCUGGGUAGCUAAGUCGGGAAGGGAUAAACGCUGAAAGCAUCUAAGCGUGAAGCCCCCCUCAAGAUGAGAUUUCCCAUAGCAUAAGCUAGUAAGACCCCUUGAAGAACACAAGGUUGAUAGGUCAGAGGUGGAAGUGCGGUAACGUAUGUAGCUGACUGAUACUAAUAGGUCGAGGGCUUGACCU
rnacentral:rRNA from 1 species